AAUGAUAACUAAUUAAUUUUUGAUGAAAUAAUAUAAAGAUUAAUAUACAAAUUUAGAAUAUUUAAAUCUAGUUGAAGUCAAAUAUAGUUUUUUAAUGAAAAAGCAAAAUAUAUUUAAUUUUAUGGUAGGUGUAAGACCCGAAUUUUGCCCGGCCCAUAGGGAAACCAAAAUCAAACACAAAAAUUAAAUGGGUUCGGUUUACAAGCCCAAAAUUUUACAACGGCCCGAUAGGCCCUAAUUUUUAGGGUUUCAGAAACCCUAAAGUUCCCCUUUUGCGCAGCAGCCCCACGCACGCUCCACGCAUGACCCUGGCUUGCGCGUUGCACACCCCACGUUCGUGUGCUCCGCUCCCACGUCUUCACAACCUGCAUUUUGAGCAAGAAAACGGCAAGAAACCACUUGUAUUUGGAUAUAAAAGCUGUCAAAUUUGGAUUGUAAAAGGGGGUCUUUCUUUUUUUCAGAGAAAUUGUAUACAGAAUACAUACAAAGAUCAAUAGAAAAUAAUCAAAAUAUACCUCUAAGGUGAUUAUUUGCUGUAAUUUAUUUCUAUUUUUUUUUCCUUUUUUUCCCCUUUUCAUUUGGAUCUAAUACAAAUACGAAAUAUAAGAGUAAGUGGGAGAAGCACACCGGAGUUGCGUCGCGCUCUCACCACUGGAGGGCCCUACUUCGUUGGUCGCAAGCAGUUUUCGGAGAAGUUGAAGGCUUGGCAUAAGCCUUUCGGCGAGGAGCAGAGGGGUGAGCAAAAGGGGGGGGGGGUUCUCAAAAUUUAGGGUUGUUUUUAAACAAAGAAUAAAAUGGUUUGAAAAAUGGGUGAAGUAAUUGGAAUAAAAAAGCACCGUUGGGUGCUUGACCCACACAUUUUGGCUCAAAGUGGGGGAUUUGCGUAUUGAGUCCUCCCCUUUUG
rnacentral:lncRNA from 1 species